UACGAAGGGGGCUAGCGUUGCUCGGAAUUACUGGGCGUAAAGGGCGCGUAGGCGGAUAGUUAAGUUAGAGGUGAAAGCCCAGGGCUCAACCUUGGAAUUGCCUUUGAUACUGGCUAUCUUGAGUUCGGGAGAGGUGAGUGGAAUGCCGAGUGUAGAGGUGAAAUUCGUAGAUAUUCGGCGGAACACCAGUGGCGAAGGCGACUCACUGGCCCGAUACUGACGCUGAGGCGCGAAAGCGUGGGGAGCAAACAGG
rnacentral:rRNA from 1 species